UACGGAGGGGGCUAGCGUUGUCCGGAAUCACUGGGCGUAAAGGGCGCGUAGGCGGUUGCCUAAGCGUGUGGUGAAAGCCCGGGGCUCAACCCCGGGUCGGCCAUGCGAACUGGGCGACUGGAGCCGAUCGAGAGGCAGGCGGAAUUCCACGUGUGAGCGGUGAAAUGCGUAGAGAUGUGGAGGAACACCAGUGGCGAAGGCGACUCUUUGGCCUGUAACUGACGCUGAGGCGCGAAAGCGUGGGGAGCAAACAGG
rnacentral:rRNA from 1 species